rnacentral:lncRNA from 1 species
GCUUAUCAUACUUCUUUCUCCGUACAAAAAAUCAAAAUCUGACUAACCUGUGGUUAUUGAACAUACCAAAUUGUUUAAGUCGCACGAUUUUUCUUAAAGCGAAAUUUUGAACCCAUGAAAGAUUGUUUCGGUUGUUUUGCUUUGUGAAACAGUUCUUUCAAUCCUUUGCCUCACUUAAACCAGUUUAAAAAUGUUGCAUCUCCAUUUGACCAAGACUGAGAAAAAAAAAACUGUAUUACCCCUUAAGAAUACUGCAAACAUUAAAACAUAAAUGUGCUGCAACCAUACUGUAUGACUUCAGAAACUCGUCUUACUGUCCUUCCGACAACGAUACAAGUAGACAAGAUUUGUUGCUGGCCAUCAAUGAACAGAUAAACGUUUAGAGACAAUGAAACGUCAACAGAAUUUGAUUACGCAACGUCAUUUGCCAGACAGGUUUACGGCCGCAACGUCAACUUCUAAUCAAAUUGCCGAGUGCCAUUGAGUAGAGAUUCAUGCCAUAAAUGAACUGAAUUGCCAAAGAAUCGACUGAAGGAAAACCUUAAAAGCCCUCAAGUUCCGACCGCAUAAUUGCCAAAACCAAUUAAUGGGUUUAACAAAUGCAAAACCAGAAGGUGGAAAAAAGAACCCAAAACAUAUCAGACAGACUUUGUUGACCUUUGUGACAAUUAUUUUAGCGUUUGUAACAUGCAGUCAUCGCUUUUGACGGGGACACAUUCAUUCAAAAAUAACACAAAAAUAAUCUAGUGUUGCGUUUCUAAAGCCGGUCAGUAUAU